rnacentral:rRNA from 1 species
UACGGGGGAGCAAGCGUUGUUCGGAUUUACUGGGCGUAAAGGGCGCGUAGGCGGCCACCGCAAGUCGACUGUGAAAUCUCCGGGCUUAACCCGGAAAGGUCAGCCGAUACUGCGGGCUAGAGUGCAGAAGGGGCAACUGGAAUUCUCGGUGUAGCGGUGAAAUGCGUAGAUAUCGAGAGGAACACCUGCGGCGAAGGCGGGUUGCUGGGCUGACACUGACGCUGAGGCGCGAAAGCCAGGGAGCGAACGGG